GACGGACAGUGAAAUCUCACAUAGAUCCUCAGUUUCCUGUGUGCCCAUAAAUGUACGUUGUGGUGGUGAGAUUGGGAUGUUUUAGAAGAAUAACACACCCAAUGUACGCAAAUGGGAAAUACCUCAUGGAUUCCCACGUACUAAAAGCAUAGGGAACUGAUAAAUGCAAUUAAUCAGAAGUCAGGAGUGUGUAAAACUACCUAACUCCACCAAAGAUGUUGGAAAUGGCAAUUUAUUAGUGAUGGUCAUAUGAUGACCUUGAAUGUCUGAAUCAUAGAUUUUUCAUAUCCAUUGUGGAUAUAAUCAUGAAUACCUAGGCAAUAC
rnacentral:lncRNA from 1 species